GUGAACGCUGGCGGUAGGCCUAACACAUGCAAGUCGAACGGCAGCACAGUAAGCGCUUGCUCUUCCGGGUGGCGAGUGGCGGACGGGUGAGGAAUACAUCGGAAUCUACUUUUUCGUGGGGGAUAACGUAGGGAAACUUACGCUAAUACCGCAUACGACCUACGGGUGAAAGCAGGGGAUCUUCGGACCUUGCGCGAUUGAAUGAGCCGAUGUCGGAUUAGCUAGUUGGCGGGGUAAAGGCCCACCAAGGCGACGAUCCGUAGCUGGUCUGAGAGGAUGAUCAGCCACACUGGAACUGAGACACGGUCCAGACUCCUACGGGAGGCAGCAGUGGGGAAUAUUGGACAAUGGGCGUAAGCCUGAUCCAGCCAUACCGCGUGGGUGAAGAAGGCCUUCGGGUUGUAAAGCCCUUUUGUUGGGAAAGAAAAGCAGCAGGUUAAUACCCCGCUGUUCUGACGGUACCCAAAGAAUAAGCACCGGCUAACUUCGUG
rnacentral:rRNA from 1 species